UAGGGAAUCUUCGGCAAUGGGGGGAACCCUGACCGAGCAACGCCGCGUGAGUGAAGAAGGUUUUCGGAUCGUAAAGCUCUGUUGUUAAGGAAGAACGAGUGUGAGAAUGGAAAGUUCAUACUGUGACGGUACUUAACCAGAAAGGGACGGCUAACUACGUGCCAGCAGCCGCGGUAAUACGUAGGUCCCGAGCGUUGUCCGGAUUUAUUGGGCGUAAAGCGAGCGCAGGCGGUUAGAAAAGUCUGAAGUGAAAGGCAGUGGCUCAACCAUUGUAGGCUUUGGAAACUGUUUAACUUGAGUGCAGAAGGGGAGAGGGGAAUUCCAUGUGUAGCGGUGAAAUGCGUAGAUAUAUGGAGGAACACCGGUGGCGAAAGCGGCUCUCUGGUCUGUAACUGACGCUGAGGCUCGAAAGCGUGGGGAGCGAACAGG
rnacentral:rRNA from 1 species